rnacentral:rRNA from 1 species
AGUGAACGCUGGCGGUAGGCCUAACACAUGCAAGUCGAACGGCAGCACAGGAGAGCUUGCUCUCUGGGUGGCGAGUGGCGGACGGGUGAGGAAUACAUCGGAAUCUACUUUUUCGUGGGGGAUAACGUAGGGAAACUUACGCUAAUACCGCAUACGACCUACGGGUGAAAGCAGGGGAUCUUCCGACCUUGCUCGAGUGAAUGAGCCGAUGUCGGAUUAGCUAGUUGGCGGGGUAAAGGCCGACCAAGGCGACGAUCCGUAGCUGGUCUGAGAGGAUGAUCAGCCACACUGGAACUGAGACACGGUCCAGACUCCUACGGGAGGCAGCAGUGGGGAAUAGUGGACAAUGGGCGCAAGCCUGAUCCAGCCAUACCGCGUGGGUGAAGAAGGCCUUCGGGUUGUAAAGCCCUUUUGUUGGGAAAGAAAUCCAGCUGGUUAAUACCCGGUUGGGAUGACGGUACCCAAAGAAUAAGCACCGGCUAACUUCGUGCCAGCCGCCGCCGUAA